rnacentral:rRNA from 1 species
UACGGAGGGUGCAAGCGUUAUCCGGAUUCACUGGGUUUAAAGGGUGUGUAGGCGGGUCUGUAAGUCAGUGGUGAAAUCUCCGGGCUCAACCCGGAAACUGCCAUUGAUACUAUAGGUCUUGAAUACCGAUGAGGUGGGCGGAAUAUGUCAUGUAGCGGUGAAAUGCAUAGAUAUGACAUAGAACACCAAUUGCGAAGGCAGCUCACUAAACGGUCAUUGACGCUGAGGCACGAAAGCGUGGGGAUCAAAC